rnacentral:lncRNA from 1 species
AUUCUCUCAUUCUUGGACUUGACAUAACAUUUGAGAGAGAACAUAGAGAGGUAACCAAGUGGGAGCUUUCCAUAACUCCGACAAAAUUCUUGGUAACUUCCGACGGAUCCUUUCUCAGUAUAUCUAUUACCAUUCUCGUGGACGACAGUACAUGAUUUGGCAUGACACAAAUCUGAGCUCAACAUCAAAGAACACUUCAUUGGUGGUGUUGAAGAAGCUUUGUGUCGUUUUGGUUCGAUUUUACACUUUGAGAGUUUAUUAUUCCGCAUUGUAAUCGUAAUAAUCUUUUAUAUACUACACUUUAAACUCUUCACAUUUUUUUAUAAGGUGUUAAAUCACACACAGAAGGUGUUUCUGACGUACCUCAUUAAUAGAUAACUUUUUUCUUUGAUUUUCUCAAUCUCAAGUAUCUUCCAAGGACAAUUAAAAUGGUGUGUGAGCACCAUUCUUGGACUAGAUUAGGGCCUGACUAGAUGAGAACACAAGCCCAAAGUUUUUAUGCUGGUGAUCAGCAUCGUCUUUUAUUUUGUGCCUUGGUGACCUGGACUCCACAUUUUAAAUGGAAGCAUGCCAUUAACCACGUGGCAAUAGUAUUACAUGGUUAAAGGUGUUCAAUUUCACCGGUGUUAAGCUCCAAUGUAAAUGUUCAUUAAAUAUUCUUAAACAAUUGAACAUUUUAAAUGGAAAGAUA